UACGAAGGGGGCUAGCGUUGUUCGGAAUUACUGGGCGUAAAGCGCACGUAGGCGGAUAUUUAAGUCAGGGGUGAAAUCCCGGAGCUCAACUCCGGAACUGCCUUUGAUACUGGAUAUCUAGAGACCGAGAGAGGUAAGUGGAACUCCUAGUGUAGAGGUGGAAUUCGUAGAUAUUAGGAAGAACACCAGUGGCGAAGGCGGCUUACUGGCUCGGAACUGACGCUGAGGUG
rnacentral:rRNA from 1 species